CCUGUGGACUGUUUACUGCCAGAGCUGUGGAGUGUGACAAUGGUGUUUGUGUCCAAUAUAUCAAACGCCAUUAUCACACUAAAUAGCUACUGUUAGAUAAGCCAUC
rnacentral:miRNA from 1 species